rnacentral:lncRNA from 1 species
UGCACACCAAGCGUGCAUUCUGCAAAACCUGAGGCCAACAGGAAGCUGCCUGCAGCAUCAGGUAGCUUUUCUGAGUUGAAAAGGAGUCUUGUGUACACAUUCAGAGAAAUGCCAGCAGAAGAUGUAGUCAUUCGGAAAGAAACAAGUCUGGAAGAAAAUGCACCGCAGACCAGCACCGAGAGGUUAAUUACUGACUGUGGUGGAAAGAAAGGAGCAGAGUCACAUUUGGUGGCUUCAGUAGCAUUCAGAGUGCAGAAAGGAGCACCAUCAAGUCUUGCACCACCCUUGGACACCAAGUUCCCCUGUCAACUACCAUGGUAAGUACCUUCCUUUUGAUCCUUUAAAGCCAGCAGAGUGCAUCCAA